rnacentral:tRNA from 1 species
GGGGGUGUAGCUCAGUGGCAGAGCACUUGCCUAGCAUGCACAGGGCCCUGGGUUCCACCCCCAGCUCCGACA